rnacentral:rRNA from 1 species
CCUACGGGAGGCAACAGUGAGGAAUAUUGGUCAAUGGACGAGAGUCUGAACCAGCCAAGUAGCGUGAAGGAUGACUGCCCUAUGGGUUGUAAACUUCUUUUAUAUGGGAAUAAAAUGUUCCACGUGUGGGAUUUUGUAUGUACCAUAUGAAUAAGGAUCGGCUAACUCCGUGCCAGCAGCCGCGGUAAUACGGAGGAUCCGAGCGUUAUCCGGAUUUAUUGGGUUUAAAGGGAGCGUAGGUGGAUUGUUAAGUCAGUUGUGAAAGUUUGCGGCUCAACCGUAAAAUUGCAGUUGAAGCUGGCAGUCUUGAGUACAGUAGAGGUGGGCGGAAUUCGUGGUGUAGCGGUGAAAUGCUUAGAUAUCACGAAGAACUCCGAUUGCGAAGGCAGUUCACUGGACUGCAACUGACACUGAGGCUCGAAAGUGUGGGUAUCAAACAGGAUUAGAUACCCCUGUAGUC